rnacentral:rRNA from 1 species
UGCCAGCCGCCGCGGUAAUACGUAAGGGGCAAGCGUUACCCGGAAUUAUUGGGCGUAAAGCGUCCGCAGGCGGAAGCAUAAGUCAGUUAUUAAAUACCGGUGCUCAACAUCGGUGCUGUAACCGAAACUGUGUUUCUAGAGUAUGGGAGAGGUCUGUGGAAUUGUACAAGUAGGGGUAAAAUCCGUAGAUAUGUACAGGAACAUCAAAAGCGAAGGCAGCAUACUGGACCAUUACUGACGCUCAGGGACGAAAGCGUGGGGAGCAAAAGGGAUUAGAUA